UGAGGAAUAUUGCGCAAUGGGGGCAACCCUGACGCAGCAACGCCGCGUGAGUGAGGAAGGUUUUCGGAUCGUAAAGCUCUGUCGAGUGGGAAGAAAUGUGUCAUGGCUAAUAUCCAUGACACUUGACGGUACCGCUAAAGGAAGCACCGGCUAACUCCGUGCCAGCAGCCGCGGUAAUACGGGGGGUGCAAGCGUUGCUCGGAAUUAUUGGGCGUAAAGAGCGUGUAGGCGGCUGAAUAAGUCAGAUGUGAAAUCCCUGGGCUUAACCCAGGACGUGCAUUUGAAACUAUUCAGCUUGAGUAGGGGAGAGGAAAGUGGAAUUCCUGGUGUAGAGGUGAAAUUCGUAGAUAUCAGGAGGAACACCGGUGGCGAAGGCGACUUUCUGGCCCGAUACUGACGCUCAGGCGCGAAAGCGUGGGGAGCAAACAGGAU
rnacentral:rRNA from 1 species